rnacentral:rRNA from 1 species
AACGAACGCUGGCGGCAUGCCUAACACAUGCGAGUCGAACGAGACCUUCGGGUCUAGUGGCGCACGGGUGCGUAACGCGUGGGAACCUGCCCUUAGGUUCGGAAUAACUCCCCGAAAGGGGUGCUAAUACCGGAUAAUGUCUUCGGACCAAAGAUUUAUCGCCUUUGGAUGGGCCCGCGUUGGAUUAGCUAGUUGGUAGGGUAAAAGCCUACCAAGGCGACGAUCCAUAGCUGGUCUGAGAGGAUGAUCAGCCACACUGGGACUGAGACACGGCCCAGAAUCCUACGGGAGGCAGCAGUGGGGAAUAUUGGACAAUGGGCGAAAGCCUGAUCCAGCAAUGCCGCGUGAGUGAUGAAGGCCUUAGGGUUGUAAAGCUCUUUUACCCGGGAUGAUAAUGACAGUACCGGGAGAAUAAGCUCCGGCUAACUCCGUG